rnacentral:rRNA from 1 species
GAUGAACGCUGGCGGCGUGCCUAAUACAUGCAAGUCGAGCGAACGGACGAGAAGCUUGCUUCUCUGAUGUUAGCGGCGGACGGGUGAGUAACACGUGGAUAACCUACCUAUAAGACUGGGAUAACUUCGGGAAACCGGAGCUAAUACCGGAUAAUAUUUUGAACCGCAUGGUUCAAAAGUGAAAGACGGUCUUGCUGUCACUUAUAGAUGGAUCCGCGCUGCAUUAGCUAGUUGGUAAGGUAACGGCUUACCAAGGCAACGAUGCAUAGCCGACCUGAGAGGGUGAUCGGCCACACUGGAACUGAGACACGGUCCAGACUCCUACGGGAGGCAGCAGUAGGGAAUCUUCCGCAAUGGGCGAAAGCCUGACGGAGCAGCGCCGCGUGAGUGAUGAAGGUCUUCGGAUCGUAAAACUCUGUUAUUAGGGAAGAACAUAUGUGUAAGUAACUGUGCACAUCUUUACGGUACCUAAUCAGAAAGCCACGGCUAACUACGUG